rnacentral:rRNA from 1 species
CACGUAGGGUGCGAGCGUUGUCCGGAAUUACUGGGCGUAAAGGGUGCGCAGGCGGUUAUAUAAGACAGAUGUGAAAUCCCCGGGCUCAACCUGGGAACUGCGUUUGUGACUGUAUGACUAGAGUACGGUAGAGAGGGGUGGAAUUCCUGGUGUAGCAGUGAAAUGCGUAGAUAUCAGGAGGAACAUCGAUGGCGAAGGCAGCCCCUUGGACCUGUACUGACGCUCAUGCACGAAAGCGUGGGGAGCAAACAGG